AUAAAGAGAAAGGCUUCUUGCGAUCAAUUUCCCCGAGUGCUUUUAUUUCCUGAAGGGACUACAACCAAUGGAAGAUCAAUUAUUUCCUUUCAACUUGGUGCAUUUAUCCCAGGAUAUCCCAUCCAGCCUGUUAUUGUGCGGUAUCCCCACGUACAUUUUGAUCAGUCAUGGGGGAAUGUUUCCCUAGCAAUGCUGAUGUUUAGAAUGUUCACGCAGUUCCACAACUUCAUGGAGGUUGAGUACCUUCCUGUUAUUACACCUCAUGAAAAUCGGAAGGAAAGUGCUGCCCGACUCGCUCAAAGGACUGGACAUGCUGUUGCAACUGCCCUUAAUGUGGUACAAACAUCUCAUUCAUAUGGCGAUGUGUUGCUUCUUUCAAAAGCAUUGGAGGCCAAUCAGGAAAAUCCUUCACUCUAUUUGGUUGAGAUGGCAGGGAUUGAAGCGGAAUUUCAUUUGAGCUCUUUGGAGGCUGUAGAUUUUCUGGAUGUUUUCCUUUCAAUGAACCCAGACUCCAGGGGACAGGUCGAGAUUCAUCACUUCCUCAAGGUCUUAAGACUGAAACCCUCUACUCUUUCUGAAAAGAUAUUUGGCUUCAUUGACGUGCAGAAAAGCGGUAAAAUAACAUUCAAGCAGUUUUUGGUAGGGUCAGCUCAUGUCUUGAAGCAGCCAUUAUUUUAUCAAGCCUGUGAAUCAGCCUUUACUGCAUGUGAUGGUGAUGGGAAGAACUGCAUUCUGGAGAAAGAGUUUGGGGAUUCUCUUAUGCUAUCGAUUCCUGGCUUGAGUAACAAUGAGAUGGGUGAACUCUUCACCUUAUUUGAUAUAGAUUGCGAUGGGAAGAUCAGCAAGGACGAUUUCAUCGGCUGUUUAAGAAGAUAUCCGUUGUUGAUUGCCCUUUUCUCACCAUGUGUUUUGCAACAAAUUUGCCCAUAGCUUGAGAAGUGAACUAGGUUGAUGGGCUUAGGCACCAUCAAUUGGUGGAGAACCCUUAUUGGCCUUCUACCACAGAUGUGUCUAAGAAAUUUUGUUGCUUAGAUAGUGUGUUUUAUCCUUACAACAAACAUGACUUGGGUGUUAUUAAUGUCCCAUUUUGAAUAGUAAAGUUGUUUGGCCAAUAUAUGUAAUGUCUUGAUUCUUCUUUUAUUUCCAAGUUUUUGUUCAAUUUCUCAAAGGGAGAUGAAAGUAAAAUCUAGGCUUCUAUAUUAAGUUGUAAU
rnacentral:misc_RNA from 1 species